GGAAAUUCGUGGCAAAAUAUCCUCCAGAGCAGGCAGUGUCAGUAGCAACCAUUGUAGAAGGCCAUGGGCCCGCAGUCUCCACGGCCAGAUCCUAUCAAUGACACUCCAGUCCACUCCAGCGACAGUUGAUUGUGGACUCAACUGAGACCAUCCAGGGCUUGCUACGGAUAAAGCAGUUACUUGUGUCCUUGGAUUUGAAAGAUGGUUGUGUGGAGACCCGUGCUACUGCUAUACAUGAUCAUGUGUUGUCGCUACAAGAUGAUGCAUCCAGUGUGAGUAGGAGGAGCAAUAUGGUCAUAGAGAGGAUGGAUAGAUAUAUUGGACGGAUUGAUGAUCUUAUUAUCCAGGUUGAUAGGUCCAUUGAUAUGAUGAGAAGUGUGCAUGCCCCAUUACAAUGAGAGUUAUGAUAUAGUGCGAGGCAUGCAAGGUUGAAUUGAUGAGAAGUCCGCUCCAUGAGAGAGAUUCUCUCACACCUACUCCCAUGUUCUCCAUUUUCUUCAGAUCCAGCAAGUUUUGGGGCUUCUCUACCGUUCCAUCACUGCUACCGUCAGAUUGACCAAAAAAAUCUCUAUUUUCCUUCUUUGCCUUUUGUUUUGCAUUUCACUAUCAUAUUUUUGUACAUUGAGGACAAUGUACAUGUUAAGUUUGGGGUGGCUGUUGUUUUAUCAUCGAUUGUUCUAUAGAAUUAACUGCUUUUGUGUGAUUGUCAACUGUCAAAAAAAUGUAGAAAAUCAGAAAAAUUCAUAAAAACAUGUCCUUUUAUGCUUUUUAUUACUUUUGAGUGUUUAUGUGCCCAUGAAGUAAGAUAAUACCAGCCUCAGGUCUUAUCCACUCCAGCUGUUAUUUUAGGGAUAUAAAGGGUCGGAAAGACGGAGAAGGGCAUCUCAACCCCAAGGGACGCCUCUUUCCACAACAUUCAAGAGCCCACCAUUUGGCUCCAGGAUUUCGGAUUGAGUUGGGUCGGAGCUAACCCAUAGGACCUAAGUACCAAGAAAGGGUGAAUUGGAAGCCUAAGGCCAGCUCUAAGACUUGCCAUCAAUGAUGUGUAUAUUAGAAUAAUCUAUUAAACUAAAACUUGGUGUAAAGAUUCUAAAUUGAGUUUUUUGAUGCUUGUCUAUAUGAAACUUGAUCUAAAUUGCACACGAU
rnacentral:lncRNA from 1 species